UUACUGCAGCUGUUGAAGCUCUUUAUGCCUCUGAUUCCCAGGUGGGACCGUGUCUCCUCUCUAUCCAGGCUCCAUUGCAAUUGAUCACUUUCAAUUCUAGCUUCUCUGAUAAUUCAGAGAUUUCUUUCUAGGGCAGAAAGCUAAACAUGGGACCUUUGUUUUUUGGAUCAAGCCACCAACAUGGUGAUCUCCACCAAUGGCCAGGCUCUAACUCAUGUGCCAGCGACAAGUUCACUCGGACAAGGCUUCAGAUGCUGCCGCUUAAACGCUGUGACACGUCCCGGCUGCUAGGACUAUUCAGCUGAUGUCCAACCAGUUUGGAGAAUCAAUGCGCUGCUAUGAGUCAAUUAAGCACCCAAAUGAUACUUACCAGAAUGGUGGAAAAUACGACGCCAAGUAUCAGCCGAUGGGUUAGUGAUUUGUUUCUUUACAACUAGUGCCAGGCUACGUUAAGUUCCAUGCUUGAAUACAAUGGAGGGAUUAUUGGUUUACAAGCCGCAUAGGGUCGGAUACUUUAUAUUACGCUUUGCAGAAACGCAAUUCUAUCCUUUUCCAAAGGGUAAAACGCAAGGAGAUAUCAUUACCUGAUACCGAUGUUUGAAAUCGCUUUUCUUCCCAUCUUUUCUGUCUUGGGAGAGAUGACGGGAGCUCCUGUCCCUAGUCCUGCUAGCUGUUGGCACCAGCGGAGAUUUCUCAGGCAACUCUGGCCGUCUGAACUCAGUUCAAAGCCCCACAGGUUUCAGCGCACAACGAGGGAAGCUGGAUCAGAAGCUCAGCCCAAGAGUUGACUGAAUGAUAGGACACUGGACUGUCUCACGCCGUCCCGGAGACCCCGUGAGCCCGUUCCCCACCCGGAUUUCUCCUCCUGAACUUGCUGCUUUAUCCCCUUGGUUGGGACACAGAGCACUGAGUGUCCCACGAGGGUAGAAACCACUGCAUUCCUCUCUGACCAAUGGAGAUAUAACAAUUAAGACUCUCCAGUUAAAGACCCAAUAUCCCCUAACGAGCUUUCCUGAGAGGUUCGUGC
rnacentral:lncRNA from 1 species